rnacentral:rRNA from 1 species
GCGGAGUGAUGGUGCUUGCACUAUCACUUAGCGGCGGACGGGUGAGUAAUGCUUAGGAAUCUGCCUAUUAGUGGGGGACAACAUUUCGAAAGGAAUGCUAAUACCGCAUACGUCCUACGGGAGAAAGCAGGGGAUCUUCGGACCUUGCGCUAAUAGAUGAGCCUAAGUCGGAUUAGCUAGUUGGUGGGGUAAAGGCCUACCAAGGCGACGAUCUGUAGCGGGUCUGAGAGGAUGAUCCGCCACACUGGGACUGAGACACGGCCCAGACUCCUACGGGAGGCAGCAGUGGGGAAUAUUGGACAAUGGGCGCAAGCCUGAUCCAGCCAUGCCGCGUGUGUGAAGAAGGCCUUAUGGUUGUAAAGCACUUUAAGCGAGGAGGAGGCUACUCUAGUUAAUACCUAGAGAUAGUGGACGUUACUCGCAGAAUAAGCACCGGCUAACUCUGUGCCACCAG